rnacentral:rRNA from 1 species
CCCUUAGACGUUCUGGGCCGCACGCGCGCUACACUGACCAGUGCAACAAGCAUCCGUCCUUGGCCGACAGGCCCGGGCAAUCUUUGAACGCUGGUCGUGAUGGGGAUAGACUUUUGCAAUUUUUGGUCUUCAACGAGGAAUUCCUAGUAAACGCAAGUCAUCAACUUGCAUUGAUUACGUCCCUACCCUUUGUACACACCGCCCGUCGCACCUACCGAUUGAAUGGUCCGGUGAAGCCUCCGGAUUGGCGCGCACCCCGGUGCCGCCGAGAAGUUGGCUAAACCUUACCAUUUAGAGGAAGGUGAAGUCGUANCA